rnacentral:tRNA from 1 species
ACCUGGGUGGCUCAGUCGGUUAAGUGUCUGACUUUGGCUCAGGUCAUGAUCUCACGGUUUGUGGGUUCGAGCCCCACGUCGGGCU